UUGGUGACUCUGGAACCAUGAUUCAGCAGACCUGUGAGGCUGUGAGUUCCCUAUCGGAACACAAUCUGCAGGAAGCAUUGGAACAGAUCACUUAGCCCAGCACCUAGGUGAUGUGAUUCUCCUCUUGCCUGGUUCCUGCCUACUGGAGAGAUUGUGAGCCAUUGCUGAGCAAAGCAGCAAGGUUGUAUUGUGCCAUAUACCUGGGAC